rnacentral:rRNA from 1 species
CAAGUCGAACGAGACCUUCGGGUCUAGUGGCGCACGGGUGCGUAACGCGUGGGAAUCUGCCUUGGGUCGGAAUAACAGUUAGAAAUGACUGCUAAUACCGGAUAAUGUCUUCGGACCAAAGAUUUAUCGCCCAGGGAUGAGCCCGCGUAGGAUUAGCUAGUUGGUGAGGUAAAGGCUCACCAAGGCGACGAUCCUUAGCUGGUCUGAGAGGAUGAUCAGCCACACUGGGACUGAGACACGGCCCAGACUCCUACGGGAGGCAGCAGUGGGGAAUAUUGGACAAUGGGCGAAAGCCUGAUCCAGCAAUGCCGCGUGAGUGAUGAAGGCCUUAGGGUUGUAAAGCUCUUUUACCCGGGAUGAUAAUGACAGUACCGGGAGAAUAAGCCCCGGCUAACUCCGUG